AGUGAACGCUGGCGGUAGGCCUAACACAUGCAAGUCGAACGGCAGCACCGUAAGAGCUUGCUCUUACGGGUGGCGAGUGGCGGACGGGUGAGGAAUACAUCGGAAUCUACUUUUUCGUGGGGGAUAACGUAGGGAAACUUACUCUAAUACCGCAUACGACCUACGGUUGAAAGCAGGGGAUCUUCGGACCUUGCGCGAUUGAAUGAGCCGAUGUCGGAUUAGCUAGUUGGCGGGGUAAAGGCCCACCAAGGCGACGAUCCGUAGCUGGUCUGAGAGGAUGAUAAGCCACACUGGAACUGAGACACGGUCCAGACUCCUACGGGAGGCAGCAGUGGGGAAUAUUGGACAAUGGGCGCAAGCCUGAUCCAGCCAUACCGCGUGGGUGAAGAAGGCCUUCGGGUUGUAAAGCCCUUUUGUUGGGAAAGAAAAGCAGCAGGUUAAUACCCCGCUGUUCUGACGGUACCCAAAGAAUAAGCACCGGCUAACUUCGUG
rnacentral:rRNA from 1 species